GGCCUACCAUGGUGGUAACGGGUAACGGGGUGUUAGGGCACGACACCGGAGAGGGAGCCUGAGAAACGGCUACCACAUCCAAGGAUGGCAGCAGGCGCGCAAAUUACCCAAUCCCGACACGGGGAGGUAGUGACAAUAAAUAACAAUACGGGGUUCUUUCGGAUUUCGUAAUUGGAAUGAGUACAAUUUAAAUCUCUUAACGAGGAACAAUUGGAGGGCAAGUCUGGUGCCAGCAGCCGCGGUAAUUCCAGCUCCAAUAGCGUAUAUUAAAGUUGCUGCAGUUAAAAAGCUCGUAGUUGAAUUUCGGGACCAAUAUGUCGGUCGUGCCUCGGUACGUACUGGCAUCGUUGGUUUCUCCCUUCUGACGAACCAUGAUGUCAUUUAUUUGGUGUCGUGGGGAAUCAGGACUGUUACUUUGAAAAAAUUAGAGUGUUUAAAGCAGGCUCACGCUUGAAUACAUUAGCAUGGAAUAAUGAAAUAGGACGUUUGAUUCUAUUUUGUUGGUUUCUAGGAUCGACGUAAUGAUUAAUAGGGAUAGUUGGGGGCAUUAGUAUUCAAUUGUCAGAGGUGAAAUUCUUGGAUUUAUUGAAGACUAACUACUGCGAAAGCAUUUGCCAAGGAUGUUUUCAUUAAUCAAGAACGAAAGUUAGGGGAUCGAAGACGAUCAGAUACCGUCGUAGUCUUAACCAUAAACUAUGCCGACUAGGGAUCGGAUGAUGUUAAUUUUUUAAUGACUCAUUCGGCGCCUUACGGGAAACCAAAGUGUUUGGGUUC
rnacentral:rRNA from 1 species